AACGAACGCUGGCGGCAGGCUUAACACAUGCAAGUCGAGCGGGCCCUUCGGGGUCAGCGGCGGACGGGUUAGUAACGCGUGGGAACGUGCCUUCUGCUUCGGAAUAGCCCUGGGAAACUGGGGGUAAUACCGGAUGUGCCCUGAGGGGGAAAGGUUUACCGGCAGGAGAUCGGCCCGCGUUGGAUUAGGUAGUUGGUGGGGUAACGGCCCACCAAGCCGACGAUCCAUAGCUGGUUUGAGAGGAUGAUCAGCAACACUGGGACUGAGACACGGCCCAGACUCCUACGGGAGGCAGCAGUGGGGAAUUUUGGACAAUGGGCGAAAGCCUGAUCCAGCAACGCCGCGUGCGGGAUGAAGGCCCUCGGGUUGUAAACCGCUUUCAGUGGGGACGAACCAAGACGGUACCCACAGAAGAAGGUCCGGCCAACUACGUGCCAGCCGCCGCCGUAACAC
rnacentral:rRNA from 1 species